rnacentral:rRNA from 1 species
UAAGGAAUAUUGGUCAAUGGGCGGAAGCCUGAACCAGCCAUGCCGCGUGCAGGAUGACUGCCCUAUGGGUUGUAAACUGCUUUUGUCCAGGAAUAAACCUUUCUACGUGUAGGAAGCUGAAUGUACUGGAAGAAUAAGGAUCGGCUAACUCCGUGCCAGCAGCCGCGGUAAUACGGGGGAUCCGAGCGUUAUCCGGAUUUAUUGGGUUUAAAGGGUGCGUAGGCGGCCUAUUAAGUCAGGGGUGAAAUACGGUGGCUCAACCAUCGCAGUGCCUUUGAUACUGAUGGGCUUGAAUCCAUUUGAAGUGGGCGGAAUAAGACAAGUAGCGGUGAAAUGCAUAGAUAUGUCUUAGAACUCCGAUUGCGAAGGCAGCUCACUAAGCUGGUAUUGACGCUGAUGCACGAAAGCGUGGGGAUCGAACA